GAUGUAGCUCACUGGUAGAGCACCUGCCUAGUAUGCCCGAGGCCCUGGGUUCCAUCCCCAGCACA
rnacentral:tRNA from 1 species